GUCAUAUCACGUUGAAACACUGAUUCCCGUACGACCAUCGAAGUUAAACAAUGUUGAUCCUGGUCAGUAGCUAGAUGGGUUACCAUUUGGGAAUACGAGGUGCU